UACGUAGGUGGCAAGCGUUGUCCGGAUUUACUGGGCGUAAAGAGCGCGCAGGCGGUCGUUUAAGUCGAAUGUGAAAGCCCCCGGCUCAACUGGGGAGGGCCAUUCGAUACUGAUCGACUUGAAGGCAGGAGAGAGAAGUGGAAUUCCCGGUGUAGUGGUGAAAUGCGUAGAUAUCGGGAGGAACACCAGUGGCGAAGGCGACUUCUUGGCCUGUUCUUGACGCUGAGGCGCGAAAGCUGGGGGGAGCAAACGGG
rnacentral:rRNA from 1 species